rnacentral:pre_miRNA from 1 species
UAUUAAAAUUUUCAUCCAUUUCUAUUAUUAAAAACUGUCCUUGUACAUCAGUAUGAGGUACACGUGGCAUGACACUUGCCACUGUUUGGUUAUUCUAUCAACUAUACCAGUUUUUAACAGUACAAAUGGAUGAAAUUUUUAACA